AAUAGAUACCCCGGUAGUCCUAGCCGUAAACGAUGAACACUAGAUGUUGGUGGUAUCAACCCCGCCAGUGUCGUAGCUAACACAUUAAGUGUUCCGCCUGGAGAGUACGGCCGCAAGGCUAAAACUCAAAGGAAUUGACGGGGGCCCGCACAAGCAGCGGAGCGUGGGGUUUAAUUCGACGCAACGCGAAGAACCUUACCAGGGCUUGACAUGACCAGGGAUCCGGCGGAAACGUCGGCGCCUCGCAAGAGGCCUGGCCACAGGUGUUGCAUGGCUGCCGUCAGCUCGUGUCGUGAGAUGUCGGGUUAAGUCCCGCAACGAGCGCAACCCCUACUGUGUGUUGUAUCACUCACACGGGACUGCCGAGAGAAACUCGGAGGAAGGUGGGGACGACGUCAAGUCAGCAUGGCCCUUACGUCCUGGGCUACACCCACGCUACAAUGGCCGGUACAACGGGCUGCGAAACCGCGAGGUGGAGCUAAUCCCUUAAAGCCGGUCUCAGUUCGGAUCGCAGGCUGAAACUCGCCUGCGUGAAGCCGG
rnacentral:rRNA from 1 species